AUGGAAGGAUGUGAUUCCCAGUGCCAGGAGCAUUCCCUGGAGCCCCUCUCCCACACAGCCCCACAGAGUCUGGGUGCCUGGCACAGCAGGGGACACGGGGACACCGUGCCAGGCAGGUGCUGUGUCCAUUCUCUGCAUCCCUGGACACAUCCCCACGGCUCCACACACCAGGAAAAGCAUCUGCCUGGACCCUGGACACCCCGUGCAGCCACAGCAGCUCCAGGCCUGGUCCCAGAGCCAAAGCCACAGCCCUUGAGAGAGUCCAGAGCCCUUUUCUGCCCCUGCCAGAGGAGCAGGACGUGCUCCCUGCCCCACAGCCCCAGGGGACAGGGGACAGGGGACAGGGCUGUUCCAGGAAACCCCAGUGAUCCCAGCAGCAGCAUGGAUCUGCUUUCAGUUUUGUUCCCACAAACUGCACUGAGGCAACAUCUCAUGGAGGGAAGGGGAGGAUCCAGGCAGAGCCCAGAGCCCUGCCAGGGCCUGGAGGGGCUCCAGGAGAGCUGCAGAGGGGCUGGGGACAAGGGAUGGAGGGACAGGAGCCAGGGAAUGGCUCCCAGUGCCACAGGGCAGGGCUGGCUGGGAUCUGGGGCAGCAAUUGCUGCCUGGGCUGGAACUGCCAGAGAAUCCCUGGAUCCCUGGCAGUGUCCCAGGAAAGGCUGGAGCAGCCUGGGAUGGGGGGAUUGGGAUGGGAUUGGGAUGGGAUUGAAGGUCCACGGGUCCCAUCCCAACGUGGCACUGCAGGGGGGGAACUGGGGGGCUCGGGGGUCCCUUCCCACCCAAACCAUUCCAGGAUUGUCUCUCUGGAGAUGCUGCAGAUCCACCUCAGCUCCCAGCACCCCACCAGACCUUUCCCUUUCACAUCCCCAAGUGCAAACCCAGCCCUGCCCCACCACAAAUCCCACAGGCACGGGGCUCUGGCAGCGCCCACCCAGCCCUGGUGCAGCUCAGCCCAGCUCUGUUUACAGCUGGGGCUCACAGGGAAGGUGCCAGCCUGGCACAGCCCAGCCUGGCACAGCCCACGGCUCUGCCAGAGCCACCCAACCUGUACAGCCAUUAGUCACUGGCAGAUGA
rnacentral:lncRNA from 1 species